rfam:Triticum aestivum genome assembly, contig: Triticum_aestivum_CS42_TGACv1_scaffold_095669_2AL
UAUAUACUCCCUUCAUCCCAAAAUUUUUGUCUUAGAUUUGUCUAGAUACGGAUGUAUCUAAAACUAAAAUGUAACUAGAUGCAUCCGUAUUUAGACAAAUUUUAAGACAAAAAUUUUAGGACAAAGGGAGUAUAUG